rnacentral:rRNA from 1 species
AUUGAACGCUGGCGGCAUGCCUUACACAUGCAAGUCGAACGGCAGCAUGGAGAGCUUGCUCUCUGAUGGCGAGUGGCGAACGGGUGAGUAAUGCAUCGGAACGUACCGUGUAAUGGGGGAUAACGUAGCGAAAGUUACGCUAAUACCGCAUACGACCUGAGGGUGAAAGCAGGGGAUCGCAAGACCUUGCGUUAUACGAGCGGCCGAUGUCAGAUUAGCUAGUUGGUGAGGUAAAGGCUCACCAAGGCGACGAUCUGUAGCGGGUCUGAGAGGAUGGACCGCCUCACUGGGACUGAGACACGGCCCAGACUCCUACGGGAGGCAGCAGUGGGGAAUUUUGUACAAUGGCGGCAACCCUGAUCCAGCCAUGCCGCGUGAGUGAAGAAGGCCUUCGGGUUGUAAAGCUCUUUCGGCCGGGAAGAAAUCGCACAGGCUAAUACUCUGUGUGGAUGACGGUACCGGCAUAAGAAGCACCGGCUAACUACGUGCCAGCCGCCGCGGUAA